rnacentral:rRNA from 1 species
UACGGGGGGGGCAAGCGUUGUUCGGAAUUACUGGGCGUAAAGGGCGCGUAGGCGGUUUGCUAAGUCGGAUGUGAAAACUCUGGGCUCAACCCAGAGCCUGCAUCCGAAACUGGCAGGCUAGAGUUCUGGAGGGGAUAGCGGAAUUCCUGGUGUAGCGGUGAAAUGCGUAGAUAUCAGGAGGAACACCGGUGGCGAAGGCGGCUAUCUGGACAGAAACUGACGCUGAGGCGCGAAAGCUAGGGGAGCAAACAGG